rnacentral:lncRNA from 1 species
CAGGAGCUCUCUGUUGUGUUUAAUUUAUCUGUGAGCCUAAUUAUUUUACAAUAUGAUUUUCAGAUCGAAACGUGACUUUCUGCAGCUAAAAGUUACAAAAGAAUGUCAAACAGAAGAAUUAGAACAGCCUCAGAUGACCUUGGAUGGUACAAGUGGGGCCCAGAAGUUUAGAACCCAGUCACGAACAGAUGCUGCAAGUAGAGAAGAGGACAUGCUGGAGCAGCUAGAGAGAUCGAAACAUGACUUUCUGCAGCUAAAAGUUACAAAAGAAUGUCAAACAGAAGAAUUAAAACAGCCUCAGAUGACUUUGGGUGGUACAAGUUGGGUAAGUGAGUUGUAUUCAGAAUACCAUUUUUCUUUUUCAAGUGGGGCUGUAUAGUAACAUUUCAGGCACCAUGAGAAAUGUCUCAAGACCAACAGCAGGUAUAUUCACUCUGAAAACAUAUGUGCAAAACUCAAGUGAACACAAAUGAAACAAUGAAUAAAUUUCACAAUUUUGAAAUGUACAUUUAACAAAUUAGAUUUAGCUAAUCAUUUGUGUGUAUUGUCACAUGACUGCCCUAGUGAGUAUGGAGGAAAGAUAACACCUUGUGGAACUUGGUUCUUUCCUCACACUGUGUAUGUUCCUGAGAAUAAACUGUAAUCAACAGGGAGGCUUGGUAUCAACCACCUAUACCCAGG